rnacentral:tRNA from 1 species
GGGGUUGUAGCUCAGUGGUAGAGCGCUUGCCUUGCACGUAAGAGGAACUGAGUUCGAUCCUUGGUACCA